ensembl:lncRNA
CUAAACCAGAAAGUGAAUACAAAAUCCCGAAGUUAGACUUUCAUUACUAGCAUAGAGGAUGGACAGAAACUGGGAGAUGCACAUCUUUUUUCCUUUCAGGUAUGGGUAUACUGCUACCCAUUUUGGGACAGCGACCUUCUAACAGCCUUCUAACCCACGCUGUGUAUAUAAGGAGCCGUGUACUUUUCCAAGCUGACAGUUGCUCUGUUCCUAUAUAUAGCUUGCAAUAGAGCAUGACAGAGAAAACUGGAGUUGGAGGGAUGACACAAAAAUAAGCUAUUGGAUUCAGGCAAGGGAGGAAUUUGCCUUCAGCUGAAAUUUGAAAAGUUACAGACCGACAUGCAGCAUCCUAAAAGGCUUCGACAGGCUUAUUAUCAGAAAGAGUGUAAUUUCUUUUCCCAUCAUACAUUCUCAAAGUCAUAGCUGCAGGCCUUUCUUUUGUUAAUAUGGGCAGCAUGUUUGGUUUGCUUUUUGGAGAUGAGACAGAUCACAGGCUUUAUUACUGCCCAUGGCAUGAGGCAUCAACAUUGGAACCAUGUAUGCACUUCUUGCCAGUGUAUCACUUAUAUCUUUUUUCUCCAAACCAGAAAAAACCCUGUAUUUUUAGGAAGACGGAGCAAGCCCUUAAAUACAAAUCAGCUGAUUGUCAGUCUGUUCUCCAUUUUCUAUCUCCUUCAACCACAUUGCUUCAUACUUGCCUUUAAGUUAAACCUGUCCAAUGAGCUUUUGCUCUCUGUGACAGACUUACAGAAAACAGACUAAGCGAUUUAUCCUCUCACGCUGCAAGCCAGGCGGCUCCUCCAAGCAGAUGUAUGACAGCCAUGGGAGCUAAGUGCAGCCCAUAGACACUCGAAGGCAGCAGUGAGCAUGAUUCAGGGGAAAUGGAAGCUCCCCUGCAUGUUGAAGGACCAGAAAAGGGCAGGUGCUCAUGUACUGUGGUGUAAUUCUAUUCAUUCACUGUGCAAAGUAUGUGGUUAAUGAGCAUUACAUAUUACUGCUAAAGCAGUUUGUCCUCUUGUGCUCUGCAGUGAAGGCUCAGACUGCUCCUCCACUUUCCCCAACACACACCUGCAUUAUGCCCACACAGAAUCGUGGAAUCAAAGAUAUACAUCAUAGACAUACAGCACUCCCCCAGCCUAGGAAGGUGAGAUGCAAGAGGAGAUGUAGCACAGACUGUGAGCAGGUGAAUGUGCAGGAUCCUUGGUGUUCAAGGGUAAGGGGGUAAGGCAGCCCUAAGUUACAGAGCUUUGCAAGGAAAGGUUUCCUCCUCUACCUGAUGGAGAGGCUGCUACCACCACCUGAUUGCCUGACAUUUCUUUUCAUAAGACCACGUUUCCAAUUGCUAAGAUGCUUGUCAAACUUUAAGCACCAUGCCAGCACACCGAGUAUGCGGCCCGCAGGGAAUAACCAUGUAAGAUUUUCUCUGUGAUGGUUUGUUCACUUAACGAGGUGUUGCAGCAGGUCUCCCAUAGUCUUAAACUUUGGAACAGGGAAUCAGAAAUGAGGAGGCAGGGAGGACUGCAGCCUGGAGGCGGUGAGGACGAGGAGAUGGAGGACCGCCGCCGGAGCAGGGCGGGUCCCGCUGGUAGGGGCUUAUCGCACAGGCCCAGGCCUACCGCUGGCACGUGUGGUGCGCGUCGAGCUUCUGGCCGAGGUAACAGCGUCCCUAUCAGUAAAGUAGCGCAGAAGGAAAGCUGCCACCCCACCCUGUUUCCCUCUUUUGGGUUUGAACACUCGGCCCGUACAGCCACGGGCAGCUACUGCUGCUCUCGCGCCCGUGGUUACCGCGCCGCCAACUGCCGGGCAGGAACGCGCCGAGCCCUGCGGCCGUUCAAGGAGAGCGUCUCGCGGCACUGCACCGCGGCCCCCGAGGCCACGCCCAUUCCCCUCCGCACUUCGUCGCUCGCCUUCCCCUCCCCGAGCCGUUCUCCACCCCGGCCCGGCCCCUCUCACCGCCUCACGGAGCUCCCCG